GAGCCAUUAGCUCAGCUGGUAGAGCGUCUGACUUUUAAUCAGAGGGUCAGAGGUUCGAAUCCUCUAUGGCUCA
rnacentral:tRNA from 1 species